GCGCUUAUAGCUUAGCGGUAGAGCAUUUGGCUUUUAACCAAUCGAGGGAGGGUUCGAGUCCUUCUAAGCACA
rnacentral:tRNA from 1 species